GCCGCCGUAGCUCAGCGUGGUUAGAGCGCGGGGCUGUGGACCCCGAGGUCCCGGGUUCAAGUCCCGGCGGCGGCCCCA
rnacentral:tRNA from 2 species